AUUGAACGCUGGCGGCAGGCCUAACACAUGCAAGUCGAACGAGUGUCGUCCGGGUGAGUAAUUUCUGGGACACUGCCCGAUGGAGGGGGAUAACUACUGGAAACGGUAGCUAAUACCGCAUACCAUCAGAUGUUCCCCGAUGGGAUUAGCUUGUUGGUGGGGUAACGGCUCACCCAGGCGACGAUCCCUAGCUGGUCUGAGAGGAUGACCAGCCACACUGGAAAUGAGACACGGUCCAGACUCCUACGGGAGGCAGCAGUGGGGAAUAUUGCACAAUGGGCGAAAGCCUGAUGCAGCCAUGCCGCGUGUAUGAAGAAGGCCUUCGGGUUGUAAAGUACUUUCAGCGGGGAGGCGUUACCCGCAGAAGAAGCACCGGCUAACUCCGUGCCAGCAGCCGCGGUAAUUC
rnacentral:rRNA from 1 species